CCUACGGGUGGCAGCAGUGGGGAAUAUUGCACAAUGGGGGAAACCCUGAUGCAGCGACGCCGCGUGAGUGAAGAAGUAUUUCGGUAUGUAAAGCUCUAUCAGCAGGGAAGAAAUAGCGACCUUUGGGUCGCCAGACCGUACCUGUUUCGGACGCCCCGGCUAACUACGUGCCAGCAGCCGUGGUAAUACGUAGGGGGCAAGCGUUAUACGGAUUUAUUGGGUGUAAAGGGAGCGUAGACGGCAGCGCAAGGCUGAAGUGAAAUGCCGGGGCUUAACCCCGGAACUGCUUUGGAAACUGUGCAGCUAGAGUGCAGGAGAGGUAAGUGGAAUUCCUAGUGUAGCGGUGAAAUGCGUAGAUAUUAGGAGGAACACCAGUGGCGAAGGCGGCUUACUGGACUGUAACUGACGUUGAGGCUCGAAAGCGUGGGGAGCAAACAGGAUUAGAUACCCGGGUAGUC
rnacentral:rRNA from 1 species